rnacentral:rRNA from 1 species
UACGGGGGGGGCAAGCGUUGUUCGGAAUUACUGGGCGUAAAGGGCUCGUAGGUGGCCAACUAAGUCAGACGUGAAAUCCCCAGGCUCAACUUGGGAACUGCGUCUGAUACUGGAUGGCUUGAAUUCGGGAGAGGGAUGCAGAAUUCCAGGUGUAGCGGUGAAAUGCGUAGAUAUCUGGAGGAAUACCGGUGGCGAAGGCGGCAUCCUGGACCGAUAUUGACACUGAGGAGCGAAAGCGUGGGGAGCGAACAGG